rnacentral:rRNA from 1 species
UGUGCCAGCACCCGCGGUAAUACGUAGGUGGCAAGCGUUAUCCGGAAUUAUUGGGCGUAAAGCGCGCGCAGGUGGUUUCUUAAGUCUGAUGUGAAAGCCCACGGCUCAACCGUGGAGGGUCAUUGGAAACUGGGAGACUUGAGUGCAGAAGAGGAAAGUGGAAUUCCAUGUGUAGCGGUGAAAUGCGUAGAGAUAUGGAGGAACACCAGUGGCGAAGGGGACUUUCUGGUCUGUAACUGACACUGAGCGCGAAAGCGUGGGGAGCAAACAGGAUUAGAUACCGGGUAGUCCA